rnacentral:ncRNA from 2 species
GGGGUGAGUCGCGACUGGCGUGCUCGGGUGGAAUCAACCACCGGGAAGCGACCGAUCGGCGAGGCACCGUGCGCCUGGGUGCCGCCG